rnacentral:lncRNA from 1 species
GUAACCUUUAUCUUUCCCACUUCUCAGCUGUCGCUUUACCAACAGGAGCCUCUACCUUUGCGGAGUUGGGAAAAGACAAACAGUUCUGUUUCCUUAAGCUAGGCUUACAAUCGAAGGGCCAGCUGUUCACUUUACAAUCUAUCCCAGCAUCCUCAGCUCCAAUAACUGCCAGUUGAUGCUUGCCUGUCCCAGUGGAAUUAAUGGAAGCUGUCAACAGCCCGCCCCCGACCUCACUGGAUAUAACUGUGUCCUCGGCAGACGAGAGAAUAACCAGAGGAAGGGCUGAAAAUCCUGGAGAACACCAACAUUAACAAGCUUCAGUUUGUCAGAACCAGUUGGGAUGCAACAGGAUUUUCAGUUUUGCUGCCUUCCAUGCAUGAAUGGCUUCUGUUAGGUUGGAAUGACCAAGAUGAUUUUUCCACCCAUUCUUGGGACCUGGACUAUGAUGGCCACAGCAGCUAAAGAUGCCAGGUUCUGCAUACUAUGAAACUACUACAUCAGCAGGUCCAAAGGACUCCACUGACUCAACUGAUCUGAGGGACCCCAUGAGAAGCCUACUCAUCAAAGAAUGCAGUUUCUAAAUCCUGAUGAGUUCACCCCCCUUGCCCUGACCAAUCAACAAUCCUAAUUCUCCAGUCCCUUGCCCUCCAUGAUCCUCUUAAAAACCCUAGCCCAGAAUUCCUCAGGAAGAUGGAUUUGAGGGUCUCCUUCCAACUCCUCACUCAGCGCCCUGUGGUCAUUAAACUUUCUCU